rnacentral:rRNA from 1 species
GGCGAACGCUGGCGGCGUGCCUAAUACAUGCAAGUUGAGCGCUGAAGGUUGGUACUUGUACCCACUGGAUGAGCAGCGAACGGGUGAGUAACGCGUGGGGAAUCUGCCUUUGAGCGGGGGACAACAUUUGGAAACGAAUGCUAAUACCGCAUAAAAACUUUAAACACAAGUUUUAAGUUUGGAAGAUGCAAUUGCAUCACUCAAAGAUGAUCCCGCGUUGUAUUAGCUAGUUGGUGAGGUAAGGGCUCACCAAGGCGAUGAUACAUAGCCGACCUGAGAGGGUGAUCGGCCACAUUGGGACUGAGACACGGCCCAAACUCCUACGGGAGGCAGCAGUAGGGAAUCUUCGGCAAUGGACGAAAGUCUGACCGAGCAACGCCGCGUGAGUGAAGAAGGUUUUCGGAUCGUAAAACUCUGUUGGUAGAGAAGAACGUUGGUGAGAGUGGAAAGCUCAUCAAGUGACGGUAACUACCCAGAAAGGGACGGCUAACUACGUG